rnacentral:rRNA from 1 species
UAAGUAAUGUGAAUUGCAGAAUUCAGUGAACCAUCGAAUCUUUGAACGCAUCUUGCGCCCUUUGGUAUUCCGAAGGGCAUGCCCGUUUGAGUGUCAUUGUAUUAUCAAAUCCCUUCAUUCUUGUGAAGUGGGUAUUGGAUUUGGAGGUCUUUGCGGGUUUCACUGUAAAUCUGCUCCUCUUGAAUACAUUAGCUAGGAACCUUUUGUUAGGCUGGCUUCAGUGUGAUAAUUGUCUGCGCUGUAGUCGUCUAGCACUUGUAUAAAGGAUUUUGCUUCUUAAUCGCCUUUUCUUAAGACAAUCUUGACAUCUGACCUCAAAUCGGGUAGGACUACCCGCUGAACUUAA